rnacentral:rRNA from 1 species
CCUGGUCAGGAGAACGCUGGCGGCGUGCCUAAUCAUGCAAGUCGAGCGAACAGAUAAGGAGCUUGCUCCUUUGACGUUAGCGGCGGACGGGUGAGUAACACGUGGAUAACCUACCUAUAAGACUGGGAUAACUUCGGGAAACCGGAGCUAAUACCGGAUAACAUAUUGAACCGCAUGGUUCAAUAGUGAAAGGCGGCUUUGCUGUCACUUAUAGAUGGAUCCGCGCCGUAUUAGCUAGUUGGUAAGGUAACGGCUUACCAAGGCAACGAUACGUAGCCGACCUGAGAGGGUGAUCGGCCACACUGGAACUGAGACACGGUCCAGACUCCUACGGGAGGCAGCAGUAGGGAAUCUUCCGCAAUGGGCGAAAGCCUGACGGAGCAACGCCGCGUGAGUGAUGAAGGUCUUCGGAUCGUAAAACUCUGUUAUCAGGGAAGAACAAAUGUGUAAGUAACUGUGCACAUCUUGACGGUACCUGAUCAGAAAGCCACGGCUAACUACGUGCCAGCAGCCGCGGUAAUACGUAGGUGGCAAGCGUUAUCCGGAAUUAUUGGGCGUAAAGCGCGCGUAGGCGGUUUUUUAAGUCUGAUGUGAAAGCCCACGGCUCAACCGUGGAGGGUCAUUGGAAACUGGAAAACUUGAGUGCAGAAGAGGAAAGUGGAAUUCCAUGUGUAGCGGUGAAAUGCGCAGAGAUAUGGAGGAACACCAGUGGCGAAGGCGACUUUCUGGUCUGUAACUGACGCUGAUGUGCGAAAGCGUGGGGAUCAAACAGGAUUAGAUACCCUGGUAGUCCACGCCGUAAACGAUGAGUGCUAAGUGUUAGGGGGUUUCCGCCCCUUAGUGCUGCAGCUAACGCAUUAAGCACUCCGCCUGGGGAGUACGACCGCAAGGUUGAAACUCAAAGGAAUUGACGGGGACCCGCACAAGCGGUGGAGCAUGUGGUUUAAUUCGAAGCAACGCGAAGAACCUUACCAAAUCUUGACAUCCUUUGACCGCUCUAGAGAUAGAGUCUUCCCCUUCGGGGGACAAAGUGACAGGUGGUGCAUGGUUGUCGUCAGCUCGUGUCGUGAGAUGUUGGGUUAAGUCCCGCAACGAGCGCAACCCUUAAGCUUAGUUGCCAUCAUUAAGUUGGGCACUCUAAGUUG